rnacentral:rRNA from 1 species
AGUGAACGCUGGCGGCGUGCCUAACACAUGCAAGUCGAGCGAAGUGUUUGCUGUAGCAAUACAGUAAACACUUAGCGGCAGACGGGUGAUUAACACGUAGACAACUUACCUCGUAGAGGGGGAUAGCCCGCCGAAAGGCGGGGUAAUACCGCGUAAGAUCAAGAAUCGGCAUCGGUUUUUGAUGAAACACCCGCAAGGGUGGCUAUGAGAGAGGUCUGCGGCCUAUCAGCUAGUUGGUGAGGUAACGGCUCACCAAGGCUACGACGGGUAUCCGACCUGAAAGGGUGACCGGACACACUGACACUGAGACACGGGUCAGACUCCUACGGGAGGCAGCAGUGAGGAAUUUUGGACAAUGGGGCAACCCUGAUCCAGCGACGCCGCGUGAGGGACGAAGGUCUUCGGAUU